GGGGGCAGGCAGGCUGGGGCCACUUGUGCUUUUAGGGGGCACACUUUAUCAUUUAUUUUAACCUAAAGUACUUUCAGGAUUAUUGCAAGUCAUUUUUCACUGUCUCUACAAGUUGUCUCUACAAGUAAGCUAAGAAAAUAAUGAAAUAAAUAAAAAUAAUAAAUAAUAAUAAACAAAUAAAAAAACUUUUACUUGGCCAGAGAGUAAAUUUAAUAUAAAUAUAAACAUAUAUAUAUACACCGAUAUAAUAUAUAAUAGCAUUAUACAUGUCUCCUACAAACAAAAUGCUUUCUUGAGUAUAUAGACCGGCACAUGAAAAGUCAACGAACAACAUAUGUGAAUAUGUGUGGCACAAAACAAACACCGUUCGGUUAAAAGAAUCUCUGCUUGGAGAGAAUUAAUAAACAUGUAGGCUAAUAUAACUGUGGAUAUAAUACUUAUACAGCUAUGAUAGUGAAAAUAAAUUAAGAUGAAUAAGGGCAUUCGAAAUAGAUUAAACCUGGAUCAUUUCAGGUACGUGUACGCAGCUUUAUUCAUAUCAAAGUUUCUACUAUCGCAGUUAAAGUAACUGUUUGCACUCUGAUAGAGACGUGUUCCCAUUAGCUGUACUCUGUAGGUAGUAUGACCUACUAUUGAUGGAUGUCAACAUUGCAUAACCACACGCAGAAUACCCCCACUACGCUUAUGUGCAGAACUUGCAUUCCUGUGCAGAACUCACUUUUGUAGGCUUUUGAGUGGAUAAAAGAUAGAAACCUUCUUCAUUUCUGGGAAAAAAAAGGUAGCCAGUUUAAACUGUAAUGCCCUCCCACCCCUUGAAAUGCACUCCCCUGACUCAGUCUCCCCGCACAACACCCUCCAACAAAAUUCCAGACCACUCUUGAAUAUUUCAUGACAAAUUAAUGAGAUAAAAGAUCUGCAGUUGAUUCCAAGUGUUGAAUUUGCAUUUGGUAGCCAUUCAUGGGAACUAUAAUAACUAUAUAAUAUGAAGUCCAAAGAGGUGUCGAUGCAAGUCAAGGAGGCCAUCAUUAGGAUUAAAAAACCAAAACAGUCCUAUCGGAGAGAUAGCAGAAACUUUAGGAGUGGCCAAAUCAACAAUUUGGUACAUUCUUGAAAAAAAGGAAUGCACAGCAACAUCAAAAGCCCUGGAAGACCAUGGAAAAGAACUAAAUUGGAUGAACACAGAAUUAUUUCCUUGUUGAAGAAAACCCCGUUCACAACAUCUAGUCAAGUCAAGGACACUCUGGAGGAGGUAGGAGUAUCAUUGUCAGAGUCUACAAUCAAGAGACACCUUCAUGAAUGUAUAUACAAGGGGUUUACCUCAAGAUGCGAAACCACUGGUAACACUCAAGAACAGAAAGAGCAGAUUAGACUCUGCUAGAAAACAUCGGAGAGAAAAGCCUGCCCAGUCCUGGAACAAGAUUCUUUGGACAGAUAAAACCAAGAUUAACUUGUACCAGAAUGAUGGGAAUAGAAGAGUAUGCAGAAGGAAAGGAAGGGCUCAUUAUCCAAAGCAUACUACAUCAUCUGUCCAAAAUGGUGGAGGGAGUGUUAUGGCAUGGGCAUGUAUGGCUGCCAAUGGAACUGGUUCACUGGUGUUUAUUGAUGAUGUGACUGCUGAUAGAAGUAGCAGGCUGAAUUCUGAAGUGUAUAGAGCUAUACUGAUCAAAUUCAGCCAAAUGCUGCAAAAAUGAUAGGACGGUGCUUCACAGUACAGAUGGAUAAUGACCCAAAACAUACAGCGAAAGCAACCCAAGAGCUUCCUAAUGCAAAGAGAUGGAAUGUUCAUAAAUGGGCAAAUCAGUCAUCUGACUUCAACUCAAUUGAGCAUGCUUUUCAUUUACUGAAGACAAAACUGAAGGCAGAAAGACCCACAAAUAUGCAGCAACAGAAGGCAGCUGCAGUAAAGGCCUGGCAAAGCAACUCAAGGGGGGAAACUCAACAUUUGAUGAUGUUCAUGGUUUCCAGAUUUGAGACAGUCAUUGAUUGCAAAGGAUUUGCAUCCAAGCAUUAAAAAUAAUCUUGAUUUUCUAAUCAAGUAAUAGUUUGAUUAUAAUAUAUAGUUUGUCCAGUUACUUUGAGCUUGUGUAAAUGGAGGGACUCUGUAAAAAAAAAAAAAGAUAGUUGUCAUUCCUAAAAGGUUAAUGCAAUAUUUUUUGUUAAAGCCCUUGAAUUAAAGUUGAAAGUCUCCACUUCAAUCACAUCUUGAUUGCUUCAUUUCAAGUCCAUAUUGAUGGUGUAGAGAGGCAAAAUUACAAAAAUUGUGUCACUGUCCAAAUAUGUAUGGAGCCGACUAUAUAUCUCCAAUAGACAGUAACCUGAACUCAGGAUCGAACCAAGGACCUGUUGCUACAGCACCAUGCUGUCCAUUUUGUUAUGAUUUUAAUUUGAAAAGUAGUGCAACCUAGAUUAAAAAUAGAGCACUGAAUCCGAGUCUGAAUAAUUGAUUCUUUUUUUUUUUUUUUUUUUUUUUUAGAAAAUACAAUCAUCACUCAGCCUCACACACUCAAAAAACAAAAGUAUAUUAACCCUAUCAUCAACCCACAUAUAUUGAGUCCAGUGUGACCUGCCCUCUUUUUUUCAAAUAACGAGGGCCAAUUCAGCUAAAAUUAGUUCUGGGCCAGACAAGACUAAUUGAGAUAAACAGUUGGAGAGAAAAGUCCAAGUCCACUACUGAGGGCAGCUGGAAUUCUUUAUUUAGGCUUUGUUUACAGGGACAUUGUAAAUGCACUGUUUGCUGUUGAUAUUAAGAACAAAGUAUGACAGGACCAUGCAUCAUCUCAUAGGAGAGGGUUUAGGUCAGAGAAUCCUAUGUAUGCAUGACCGUCCAUGUGAUUCAUGGUCAAGCCCACCCCUCUCCCCACUUCAAGCAUGCAAUGCGUAUUGAUGAUUUCCAAAAUGUUGGCUUUAAGCUUAUCUGAGAAUCACAGCUGAGAAACAUAGCAGUUUGGGGCUAAGCAAGAAUGAAGACAAGAAGGACGAAACACGAAACUCCAAUUUGAAAAAAGAAAUUUAAUGGUUGAGAUGCCACAUAUUACGAAAUUGCACUAGAACACUUGGACCUUUCUUUACCUACUGAUCAGUAUUUUGUGUUAGGAACUAUAUCUCUGUCUCAAACUGUGUUCUUCACAUGCUAGUGCACUAUUAAUACCUGGAUGAUGUGCUAGAAUUGCAGAGAAUGGUUGUAUUGAACACCAGAGACACUCAGAGCUCACAGUGUGCUAUAUGUACUGGAAUGAAUGUGGUCAUUAGUCUGAAAUUAGAGAAUGACACCUAACUGCUAGCUCUGUGUAUGCUAGCUCGACUGCACGUAACUAAUGUUUCCUACAGCGUAAGGGUGCUUUCACACUUUCAGAAAAAAUAAUGCCAAGCCAUAACAUAAUCAUAACAAUGUUCUUUCUAGUUCUAGCUAGUAUCGGCUAACUAACUAUCCUGGGUUUGCUAUAUAGAUUAGAUUUAUUAUUAUCAGUAAUAAAGAUUAAAUAAAGAUUUUUUGAGGGUUGUUUUUGCUUCGCUGCAGCUUUGGAUGACUAAUUCUUCACCAGCUCUUUAUCCUCCAUGGUUUUUUCCUCGUUUGUCCCAACUUGCAACAUGACUGGAGGUAAAGCAAAAAAAAAAAAAAUUUAAUUCUUGACGUCAGUUGGGAAUUUUCUGAAAAGUUGAACCUUGGAUGCUCUUUUGCGACCAAAAAAUGCAGACGGGAACGCUAUUCCCAUAAGGCUAAAUGUAAAAUGUGUGAGGGCAGAUGAGAAAAAAUGGCAAGUGGGAACGCACGUCAACACGCCCCUGCUUUGUGGUCGUGGGAAGCCUGGAGCCUUUCCCAGGGGAUUCGGGGCACAAGACAGGGGACACGCUGGACACCCAUCGCAGGACACAUUCACACACACAUUCACAUACUACGGACCAUUUAGAGAUGCAAAUCUGCCUACAGUGUAUAUCUUUGGACUGGGGGAGGAAACUGGAGUACCCGGAGGAAACCUUUGAAGCACAGGGAGAGCAUGCUCUGUGCACACAGGGUGGAGGAGGAAUUCGAACCCCCCAUCCCUGGAGGUGCGAAGCAAAUGUGCUAACCACUAAACCACCAAAUAAUAACUCAACAAUUCUAAUGAAACUCUUAUCAGUCUUUAAGCUAAAUAACCAAACUGUAACACUAUUUAUGUGUUCAGAUAUUGCCAUUUAUCAAGAACAAAAAGAAGCAACAGCAACAAUAUUAUAUUCAGGAUGUACUUUUCUUGUACAAUUUUGUUUUAUAACACUGAUUUGUUGUUCUGUUCUAUACAGUAUGUACACUUUGUUCAUCAUUAAAUAUAUAUAUAUAUAUAUAUAUAUAUAUAUAUAUAUAUAUAUAUAUAUAUAUAUAUAUAUAUAUAUAUAUCAAUUAAAUAGGGGGCAGUGGGAGCAGAAAGAGCUCUGUUCACUCAGAGAAAGAUGAAGAAUGUGAUGGGGAAAGAGGGAAGGAUGUAGAGAAUCAGGUUGCUUAAUAUAGACAAACAUUUUCAGUAUCUGUCACAGUCCCUAAAGCCUCAGUAAUGUGUACCAUGGGAUUAACACUCCUGUGUUUAUGAGCACACACACACACAUUAGUAAAAUCCAACAGUUCUCAUCAGUGUGUGACUGUGGACUCUCUGACCUUACUGUGAGAGUAAACAGCAGUCAUAAAGUAGCCAAACACGGCUAAAGCCAUGAACUAGUUUAUUAGACAUCCAUACAUCCGGAGCUGCUCCCCAAUAAAGACGUCAUGGAUAGUGAUGAACUCUCAGCUAGUGGGAGGAAACAAUAGAGAGAGAGAGAGAGAGAGAGAGAGAGAGAGAGAGAAAUGAAUUAUUGGUGUACUAUAUAACUCAGUAUACUAUAUAUAGUGCAAAAUAAUAUUCUUUUCAGAGUGUUUCACACACUUCACAUUCCAGGUGCACCGCAACAUGGCUGCACUGGAAAAAGUGCAAAUCCUUCCCCACUUUUGUAUAUUGCACUGUGUUUAUUGUCUUCUUAUGUACUUUUUUUCAUUAUGUAUGUUUUUAUUCUGUUUUGAUCGUUUGUUUUGACUUGGGUCCAUACGGCAUAAGGAAACCCCAGCAUGCUCAGCACUUAGUCACUGACUUCAUGUCUCUUUAGUUAAUGUACAGUAUAAUUCAAAAGUUUGGACAUGCAUUGUAAUAGAGAGGGGUUUAUUUUCUCCCCCAUAUUUUCAGUAAUUUCUACCUUUUAAAAUAAUAGUGAAGACAUUCAUUGGAUCUGACUGGACGGAUCUGGAGUCUGUCCCGGGAACACUAGGGUACAGGGCACCAUGCAGACAUCAGAACUAUACAAUAACUUAUGUGGAAUUAUUCUGUGUAUGCCCCUCCGCCCCCUCCCCCCCAAAUGAUUAUUGAAUAAAUGAAAACCAAACCA